AUGCACAUACUGUGAGCUCGAUGAGUAGGGCGGGACACGUGGUAUCCUGUCUGAAUAUGGGGGGACCAUCCUCCAAGGCUAAAUACUCCUGACUGACCGAUAGUGAACCAGUACCGUGAGGGAAAGGCGAAAAGAACCCCGGCGAGGGGAGUGAAAAAGAACCUGAAACCGUGUACGUACAAGCAGUGGGAGCACGCUUAGGCGUGUGACUGCGUACCUUUUGUAUAAUGGGUCAGCGACUUAUAUUCUGUAGCAAGGUUAACCGAAUAGGGGAGCCGAAGGGAAACCGAGUCUUAACUGGGCGUUAAGUUGCAGGGUAUAGACCCGAAACCCGGUGAUCUAGCCAUGGGCAGGUUGAAGGUUGGGUAACACUAACUGGAGGACCGAACCGACUAAUGUUGAAAAAUUAGCGGAUGACUUGUGGCUGGGGGUGAAAGGCCAAUCAAACCGGGAGAUAGCUGGUUCUCCCCGAAAGCUAUUUAGGUAGCGCCUCGUGAAUUCAUCUCCGGGGGUAGAGCACUGUUUCGGCAAGGGGGUCAUCCCGACUUACCAACCCGAUGCAAACUGCGAAUACCGGAGAAUGUUAUCACGGGAGACACACGGCGGGUGCUAACGUCCGUCGUGAAGAGGGAAACAACCCAGACCGCCAGCUAAGGUCCCAAAGUCAUGGUUAAGUGGGAAACGAUGUGGGAAGGCCCAGACAGCCAGGAUGUUGGCUUAGAAGCAGCCAUCAUUUAAAGAAAGCGUAAUAGCUCACUGGUCGAGUCGGCCUGCGCGGAAGAUGUAACGGGGCUAAACCAUGCACCGAAGCUGCGGCAGCGACGCUUAUGCGUUGUUGGGUAGGGGAGCGUUCUGUAAGCCUGCGAAGGUGUGCUGUGAGGCAUGCUGGAGGUAUCAGAAGUGCGAAUGCUGACAUAAGUAACGAUAAAGCGGGUGAAAAGCCCGCUCGCCGGAAGACCAAGGGUUCCUGUCCAACGUUAAUCGGGGCAGGGUGAGUCGACCCCUAAGGCGAGGCCGAAAGGCGUAGUCGAUGGGAAACAGGUUAAUAUUCCUGUACUUGGUGUUACUGCGAAGGGGGGACGGAGAAGGCUAUGUUGGCCGGGCGACGGUUGUCCCGGUUUAAGCGUGUAGGCUGGUUUUCCAGGCAAAUCCGGAAAACUAAGGCUGAGGCGUGAUGACGAGGCACUACGGUGCUGAAGCAACAAAUGCCCUGCUUCCAGGAAAAGCCUCUAAGCAUCAGGUAACAUCAAAUCGUACCCCAAACCGACACAGGUGGUCAGGUAGAGAAUACCAAGGCGCUUGAGAGAACUCGGGUGAAGGAACUAGGCAAAAUGGUGCCGUAACUUCGGGAGAAGGCACGCUGAUAUGUAGGUGAAGUCCCUCGCGGAUGGAGCUGAAAUCAGUCGAAGAUACCAGCUGGCUGCAACUGUUUAUUAAAAACACAGCACUGUGCAAACACGAAAGUGGACGUAUACGGUGUGACGCCUGCCCGGUGC
rnacentral:rRNA from 1 species